GACGAACGCUGGCGGCGUGCUUAACACAUGCAAGUCGAACGGAAAGGCCCUGCUUUUGCGGGGUGCUCGUGUGGCGAACGGGUGAGUAACACGUGUGUAACCUGCCCUUGACUUUGGGAUAACUUCAGGAAACUGGGGCUAAUACCGGAUAGGAGCUCCUGCUGCAUGGUGGGGGUUGGAAAGAUUCGGCGGUUGGGGAUGGACUCGCGGCUUAUCAGCUUGUUGGUGGGGUAGUGGCUUACCAAGGGUUUGACGGGUAGCCGGCCUGAGAGGGUGACCGGGCACAUUGGGACUGAGAGACGGCGCAGACUCGUACGGGAGGCAGCAGUGGGGAAUAUGGCACAAUGGGCGGAAGCCUGAGGCAGCAACGCCGCGUGCGGGAUGACGGCCUUCGGGUUGUAAACCGCUUUCGCCGGUGACGAAGCGUGAGUGACGGUAAUGGGUAAAGAAGCACCGGCUAACUACGUG
rnacentral:rRNA from 1 species